rnacentral:rRNA from 1 species
AUGUGCCCCAUGCAGGCAGCAGGCAGCAGGCAGGGCCUCAUAUACAAAAGGGCUUGGUCUCUUCUCAACCCAGAGCUAGCCAGGGAAGACCAAGCACAGCAAUACCUGAUAGUGAGUGAUAAUCUUUCCAGAAGCAGCAGCAGAAGAAGGUUGAUCAGACUGUACACACAACCAUACAUGUCGUUGGAGGAUCCACGGAGCGCGAUGGAGGGGAGGGCGAGGAGGCGCGCCAGCCCGUCCGGGAUGCGCACCAAGGCAGUCAGGGUGGAGCCGGAGCCACAACCCACCAGGAGGCACCAGCCAGGGACGAGGGUGGCGGUGGUCUACUACCUGUGCCGGAACCACCACCUGGAGCACCCGCACUUCAUGGAGGUGCCACUCGCCUCCCCACAAGGCCUCUACCUGCGAGAUGUGAUUGGCCGGCUGGACGCCCUGAGAGGGAAGGGCAUGGCCGCCAAGUAUUCCUGGUCCUGCAAGAGGAGCUACAAGACUGGAUUCGUGUGGCACGACCUUUCCGCGGAUGAUCUGCUGCUGCCCACGCAAGGAACAGAGUACGUCCUCAAGGGCUCCGAGCUCCCAUUCGACCACUCAAAGCCUCUGCCAAUGCCGGAUCAUCAGCAGAACAAUGCAGUAUGUGCAAAGGUUCAGCCCUGCAAGCCGGCUCGACAACAAGACUCGCCUCCUUCUCCUGGAUCGUCAAACCAAGGGUGGACUUCCAAGUCUCCGUCUCCUACUCCUACAACUUACCCUGCAGUUCCAGUCAUCAAAGAGGAAGUACCACCGCCGCCGCCGUCACCACGGCCACCAACAGCAACAACUCGUGCUGCUGUUGUUCCAGCCAUGAAAGAUGUCGCAGUGCCACCGCGACUUCCCCAGCUGGUCUCGCCGUCCACACCGUCUGCCUCCACCAUUGGGGACGAAGAGCAAUGCAGAAUACCACCGCAUUCAGGCUCCUCGAGCAACUCGUCGCCCAAGACAAGCAUGGCUUCCUCAGACACAAGCUCACCCAGCCCCCCCAAACCCGCAGCGGCAGGGAGCGACGCGGCCACACAGACGGAUGAUAAAGCGCGGUGGGACGACGUGAAGCUGCAACACAGACAGGGAACAGCAAGAGCAUCAUCAUCAUCAUCGCUGGAAGGGCCAGAGAUCGUCGUGGACGAGGAAGAAUCCCGUUGCUCGCGUGCGCCGGCAGGGGAGGACCAGCCUCGCAGCAGGAGGAGCGGGACCCUGCAGUCUCUGAUACGGGCGGAGGCGGCCGGCAGGAGGAGGUGCCUUCCUCUGCCGGUGGAGGACGACAGGGCUGCUGCUGCCACGGGCGGCUCCGUCAGCGGCAGGCUGAAGCCGGCCAACCUGCUGAUGCGCCUCAUGGCCUGCGGGCCGAGCCACCCCGGCGGCUUCGGCUUGGUGCAGACCUCGUCGUCGUACAAGCCGUGUUUCCCGCAGCUCGAGUACCCGUCGUCUCCGGAGCUGUCUCCUCUCGGCGCGCUCAAGCCUGCAGAAAAUUGCAGCGGGCGCCUGCUCGACGGCGCACUUAAACGCUCUUCUUCUUCGUCGCGCAGUCACCAGGAAGGAGUUACUUGCGAAGAAGAAGAAGCGUGGCCGAAGGGGUUUAACAACAACCUGCCGAAGAGGACGAGCGAUCCGCCGUCGGGGAGGACGGCCUCUUGUUCAAAGGCGGUGUCGUUCCGGGACGAGUAG